rnacentral:rRNA from 1 species
CUCCUGAUGGUUAGCGGCGGACGGGUGAGUAACACGUAGGCAACUGCCCUCAAGACUGGGAUAACUACCGGAAACGGUAGCUAAUACCGGAUAAUUUAUUUUGCAGCAUUGUGAAAUAAUGAAAGGCGGAGCAAUCUGUCACUUGAGGAUGGGCCUGCGGCGCAUUAGCUAGUUGGUGGGGUAACGGCUCACCAAGGCGACGAUGCGUAGCCGACCUGAGAGGGUGAACGGCCACACUGGGACUGAGACACGGCCCAGACUCCUACGGGAGGCAGCAGUAGGGAAUCUUCCGCAAUGGGCGAAAGCCUGACGGAGCAACGCCGCGUGAGUGAUGAAGGUUUUCGGAUCGUAAAGCUCUGUUGCCAAGGAAGAACGUCUUCUAGAGUAACUGCUAGGAGAGUGACGGUACUUGAGAAGAAAGCCCCGGCUAACUACGUGCCAGCAGCCGCGGUAAUACGUAGGGGGCAAGCGUUGUCCGGAAUUAUUGGGCGUAAAGCGCGCGCAGGCGGUUCUUUAAGUCUGGUGUUUAAACCCGAGGCUCAACUUCGGGUCGCACUGGAAACUGGGGAACUUGAGUGCAGAAGAGGAGAGUGGAAUUCCACGUGUAGCGGUGAAAUGCGUAGAUAUGUGGAGGAACACCAGUGGCGAAGGCGACUCUCUGGGCUGUAACUGACGCUGAGGCGCGAAAGCGUGGGGAGCAAACAGGAUUAGAUACCUGGUAGUCCACGCCGUAAACGAUGAAUGCUAGGUG